ACGUCAUUUUUUGUUUACGUUCCUAUUCGUAGCAGAAGCAGAUUGCAAAAAAUUUGCCAAUUUCUAACAUUUUGUGCAUUUGUUAAAAGGUGGACAAAAAUAUAUACAAUAAUCAACCAAAACUUGAAAAUAUAUUACACGUUUCGCCCUGUGUACAAUUAUUAGCGUCAAAUUCUUUUCCAAUACGGCAAGAGAUUUUUUGCACCACACAUUUACAAUGACUGAGGCAAAAAAGAAUGCGCUUACUGCUGCUUAUCGUGCACACAAAUCCCUGCAAUUGGAGUUAACCGACUUCGAGGAUAAUACGGCAUUUGCUGCACACUUGGUCGAGCAACUGCGACGUCUCCCUACCGACAGUCGCGUAAACGCUAUGGCCGGCAUUUUAGCCAUACUGAAUCGUUUUGUACGCGUGCAAGGAGAAACUCAGUAAGCAUGCUGUAAAGAGGUUGCAACGCCUGUUUAUCAACCACACGUUGUGUACCUUAAAGGAUAUCCCAAUAGUGUGGCGGUAGCGGCGCAUGCGACUAUUGCUAAGUGGAAUGUCUUGCUAAAAGCAAUUCAUUUAGAGGUGGUUCCUAAUGUGCGAUUAUACAUUUUGUUUCGUGUUAUGUUUUCUCGAAAGAAAAACAGUUGCGUAUAUGCUGUUCUUUCCAUCCCUAUUUUCUUCGAUAAAUCUUUAUUAAAAUACAAAUGCAGUUGGUAUUCGAGGAUAAUGACAGAAGAAAAUCUGUAGUUAGCAUGAUUUAUUGAUUCAUCACAAACUUUCAUACAUAUAUUUUUGUUUUACAUACAUUAAAAUGCAUCGAAAAUAAAAUGUAAUAAGUAUUUAAUUUAGUAUAUAUGUAAAGGAUCAUUUUCAAAAAAAAAAACAUGCGUUUCAAAUAAACACUGGUUUGUGUUCUGUUUAAAAUAGCGUAA